GCCAGGUAUUCUCCUCUGUUUAGGAAUACAAAACACUUCUCUCUCUCCCACACAUUAGUCAGCACCACACCUCACCUUACCGCCAGCGCACACCACUGGGAAGCAUUCAACGUCACACAUCGCCACCGCCACCGCCACCGCCACCGCCACAAUACCAGGUGGGUAUGACAAAGAAGAGAAAGCAGCUAGGGCUUAUGAUAUGGCUGCACUGAAGUACCGGGGAACAUCUACCACUACAAACUUCCCUAUCAGUAAUUACGAAAAGGAACUUGAGGAGAUGAAACACAUGACCAGGCAAGAAUUUGUAGCCUCAAUUAGAAGGUAACUAUGAAUCAUAUAUAGCUAGUUGUAUUUAUCCUCCCCCUCUGUACUUGAAGAAGAGUGACUGAGUGCCAUGUAUCUUAUAAUCAAUUUUUCUUACCAUUUUAUUUCACCACAUCCAUCACAAGCUAUGGUUGUUAUUUUAUUUUUUUAUUUUGGUUAAAUAAUUUCGUCUAAAUACGAAUCAAUCCUCAACAAGAUAGAUGUAAACAAAAAAUAGGUGAUGAGAAUUCAGUGACAUAAUAUUUUUGAUAGCUUUUGCACUAAAAAUCUUCACUGUCAUACUGAUUCACUUUUUAUUGGUCAAGCAUGGUACUUUGUAAGUGCUAAGAAAAUCAUCUAGUCACUAGCUUUCUUCUUCCAGUAAUAAAUUUCAGGAAAAGUAGUGGAUUUUCUAGGGGUGCAUCAAUGUAUCGUGGUAACAUAAUAUUUUUGUUAGCUUUUGCACUAAAAAUCUUUACUAUGAUACUGAUUCACUUUUUAUUGGUCAAGCAUGGUACUUUGUCAGUGCAGCCAUAUCGAACUAUUUAGUUGACUAUACAUAUCUAU